AUUGAACGCUGGCGGCAUGCCUUACACAUGCAAGUCGAACGGUGGCACGGGUGCUUGCACCUGGUGGCGAGUGGCGAACGGGUGAGUAAUACAUCGGAACGUACCUUAUCGUGGGGGAUAACGCAGCGAAAGCUGUGCUAAUACCGCAUACGCCCUGAGGGGGAAAGCGGGGGAUCGAAAGACCUCGCGCGAUUAGAGCGGCCGAUGCCUGAUUAGCUUGUUGGUGGGGUAAAAGCCCACCAAGGCGACGAUCAGUAGCUGGUCUGAGAGGACGAUCAGCCCCACUGGGACUGAGACACGGCCCAGACUCCUACGGGAGGCAGCAGUGGGGAAUUUUGGACAAUGGGGGCAACCCUGAUCCAGCAAUGCCGCGUGAGUGAAGAAGGCCUUCGGGUUGUAAAGCUCUUUUGUCAGGGAAGAAACACCGGCUCUAACACAGUCCGGGAAUGACGGUACCUGAAGAAUAAGCACCGGCUAACUACGUGCCAGCCGCCGCGGUAA
rnacentral:rRNA from 1 species